UGAGGAAUAUUGGUCAAUGGACGAAAGUCUGAACCAGCCAUGCCGCGUGCAGGAUGACUGCCCUAUGGGUUGUAAACUGCUUUUAUAUAGGAAGAAACCCCCGAACGUGUUCGGGGCUGACGGUACUAUAAGAAUAAGGACCGGCUAACUCCGUGCCAGCAGCCGCGGUAAUACGGAGGGUCCAAGCGUUAUCCGGAUUUAUUGGGUUUAAAGGGUACGUAGGCGGAGUUUUAAGUCAGUAGUGAAAGCCCAUCGCUUAACGAUGGAACUGCUAUUGAUACUGAUACUCUUGAAUAUAGUUGAAGUGGGCGGAAUACGGCAUGUAGCGGUGAAAUGCAUAGAUAUGCCGU
rnacentral:rRNA from 1 species